rnacentral:rRNA from 1 species
UACGGAGGGUGCAAGCGUUGUUCGGAAUCACUGGGCGUAAAGCGCGUGUAGGCGGCCUUCUCAGUCUGGUGUGAAAGCCCGGGGCUCACCCCCGGAAGUGCAUUGGAUACUGGAAGGCUGGAGUACCGGAGAGGAGGGUGGAAUUCCUGGUGUAGCGGUGAAAUGCGCAGAUAUCGGGAAGAACACCUAUGGCGAAGGCAGCUCUCUGGGACGGUACUGACGCUGAGACGCGAAAGCGUGGGGAGCGAACAGG